rnacentral:rRNA from 1 species
GACGAACGCUGGCGGCGUGCUUAACACAUGCAAGUCGAACGGAAAGGCCCUGCUUUCUUGUGGUGCUCGAGUGGCGAACGGGUGAGUAACACGUGAGUAACCUUCCCUUGACUUUGGGAUAACUUCAGGAAACUGGGGCUAAUACCGGAUUGGAGCUCCUGCUGGAUGGUGGGGGUUGGACAGUUUGGGCGGUGGUGGCUGGACGGGCGGCUUAUCAGCUUGUUGGUGGGGUAGUGGCUUACCAAGGCUUUGGCGGGUAGCCGGCAUGGGAGGGUGAACGGGCACAUGGGUACUGAGGGACGGCCCAGACGGCAACGGGAGGCAGCAGGGGGGAAUAUUGCACAAUGGGGGGAAGCCUGAUGAAGCAACGCCGCGUGCGGGAUGACGGCCUUCGGGUUGUAAACCGCUUUCGCCUGUGACGAAGCGUGAGUGACGGUAAUGGGUAAAGAAGCACCGGCUAACUACGUG